rnacentral:rRNA from 1 species
GCAGCAGUGGGGAAUUUUGGACAAUGGGCGCAAGCCUGAUCCAGCAAUGCCGCGUGCAGGAAGAAGGCCUUCGGGUUGUAAACUGCUUUUGUCAGGGAAAGAAAUCUUCUGGGCUAAUACCCCGGGAGGAUGACGGUACCUGAAGAAUAAGCACCGGCUAACUACGUGCCAGCAGCCGCGGUAAUACGUAGGGUGCGAGCGUUAAUCGGAAUUACUGGGCGUAAAGCGUGCGCAGGCGGCUUUGCAAGACAGAUGUGAAAUCCCCGGGCUCAACCUGGGAACUGCAUUUGUGACUGCAAGGCUAGAGUACGGCAGAGGGGGAUGGAAUUCCGCGUGUAGCAGUGAAAUGCGUAGAUAUGCGGAGGAACACCAAUGGCGAAGGCAAUCCCCUGGGCCUGUACUGACGCUCAUGCACGAAAGCGUGGGGAGCAAACAGGAUUAGAUACCCCUGGUAGUCCACGCCCUAAACGAUGUCAACUGGUUGUUGGACGGCUUGCUGUUCAGUAACGAAGCUAACGCGUGAAGUUGACCGCCUGGGGAGUACGGCCGCAAGGUUGAAACUCAAA